UGUAGGUGAAUUGUCUCACCAGCUGAAGAAACCCUGAACAGUUACCUCUUCUUCGAUUCCCUGGCAGGAGAAUACUGCCUUGAGAGAAAGAGAGCGCUCAACAAUCCAACUGCAAGUGCAGAAGAGGUGAUUCACAGUUGUGUUUUUGCAAGAUUAAAGCUAAAUUCACAAUCCAUUUUUUGUUUGCUAUUGUUGGGAAGAGGAAUUGAAUCACAUCCUUGGAUUAACUAGUGAGAAUUCGUCAGAAGGCAUCUGAAUUGGCAACCUGCCAGAAGCCAUGAUGCAGUCACGCAGAAGCUAAAAGACUGACCCAAACAAUGAAACUA